UACGGAGGGAGCUAGCGUUGUUCGGAAUUACUGGGCGUAAAGCGCACGUAGGCGGCUUUGUAAGUUAGAGGUGAAAGCCCGGGGCUCAACUCCGGAAUUGCCUUUAAGACUGCAUCGCUAGAAUUGUGGAGAGGUGAGUGGAAUUCCGAGUGUAGAGGUGAAAUUCGUAGAUAUUCGGAAGAACACCAGUGGCGAAGGCGGCUCACUGGACCGGUAUUGACGCUGAUGUGCGAAAGCGUGGGGAGCAAACAGG
rnacentral:rRNA from 1 species